rnacentral:rRNA from 1 species
UACGGAGGGUGCAAGCGUUGUUCGGAUUUACUGGGCGUAAAGGGCGCGCAGGCGGCUAUUUUUGUCAGGCGUGAAAGCCCCGGGCUUAACCUGGGAACAGCGCUUGAGACGGGAUGGCUAGAGAUCGGGAGAGGAGAGUGGAAUUCCCAGUGUAGAGGUGAAAUGCGUAGAUAUUGGGAAGAACACCGGUGGCGAAGGCGGCGACCUGGUCCUUUACUGACGCUGAGGCGCGAAAGCGUGGGGAGCAAACAGG